UGCGCAGGCGGACCUUUAAGUCAGUGGUGAAAUCCCGAGGCUCAACCUCGGAACUGCCAUUGAUACUGGAAGUCUUGAAUUUGGUUGAAGUGGGCGGAAUGUAGCAUGUAGCGGUGAAAUGCUUAGAUAUGCUACAGAACACCGAUCGCGAAGGCAGCUCACUAAGCCAAUAUUGACGCUCAGGCACGAAAGCGUGGGGAGCAAACAGGAUUAGAUACCCUGGUAGUCC
rnacentral:rRNA from 1 species